rnacentral:rRNA from 1 species
AACGUAGGUACCGAGCGUUAUCCGGAUUUACUGGGCGUAAAGCGCGUUCAGGCGGUUUGGCAAGUCGGGCAUGAAAUCUCUCGGCUCAACCGGGAGAGGUUGUCCGAUACUGCUGGACUGGAGGCAGUAGAGGGUGGUGGAAUUCCGGGUGUAGUGGUGAAAUGCGUAGAGAUCCGGAGGAACACCAGUGGCGAAAGCGGCCACCUGGACUGCACCUGACGCUGAAACGCGAAAGCUAGGGGAGCGAACGGG